GGGAAGCCGGGGCAGGGCGGAGAGCCGGCCCCGCCGAGCCGGGAAGAGCCGCCCCCCGCGCCGGCAGCGGGGAGCGGGCUGUCCGCGGCAACAGGGGAAGGAGACCCCCGAAGCUCCGACGCGGAGCCCCGCGGGGCAGCGCCGGCCGCCCUUCUCUCUGCUCGCCGUGCCGGUAGUCCUGCGAGGAAGCAAACCCGCAAGCGCAGCGCGGGGAGGGGAUCCUCUAUCCUCCCCUUGCCCCAAAGAAAAUGCAACUCGGAGGUGCUCCCGGAGCCGCCCCCACCGACAUCAGCGUGGCGUCCCCACGCGAGUGGGGAGGCAGGGCCGGGGCCCGUGUCGUUCCCCCGGCAGCAGCCCCGCUGGCGGUCCCUGCGUGCCAUGUCGGCGGACUCGUACAUGGGAGGCGGCCAGAGGUUACGGCGAGGAAUUAUGAAGUAGCUACAGGCGCUGGAAGCCCUAUUGCUGCAUCAAUCUCUCCGCUCAGGCUGCGACGAGCUUCGCCGGCAUCAUUUACUUUCUCCUGCAGCGGCUCCCAAGAGCUCCCCCAGCUGCACUGCAUCGCCCCAGCCAGCCUGAAGGGAGAAGCAAACGAGGAGCAGACAGACCACGCACCCUCGUUUCGCCUGCAGCUCAGCCCGGCUCUCCUCGCCUCCUCCCCAGCCUACCAGGUCCUUCUCCCUACAAAACUUUCCCUGAUGUUGUGUGCCGGCCUCAGGUGGAUGCUUUGCCUCCGUGUGUGCCUGCUCCGCCCGCCUCGCAGGGGAUUUGCGGCUGUAGAGAGGCCCGUGUCUCUCUCCCUCGACGGCUGCCGGAGGUCCUAUUGGGAACUAACGGGCUGCAGCGGGAAGGGAGCCGACGAGGAGAGAUAAGAAGCUGGAGAAAAUUGGGCUAUUCCUGCCAGAUGCCAGCUGGAAACCGCUUGGCAGGUCCCUGCCCCACCGCUUUUUCCUGCAGCGCCAAAAUUUCCUGCAGAAGUUGCUAGGAGCGUCACCGCUCCCCAGCCGGCCCCGGGACACUCUGCUCCACCGGUCCCCGACGGGGCGUCCGGGGGUUCCCGCGCCCGCCGGCCGGGCUGCCCCGAGGUUGCCUCACGCCUGCCGGGUCUGGCAGCUGUGCCUUAUUUUCUUCUCUGUUGGCUUUCCAGGUUUUUCCCCUCCCCUCCUUACCGUUUCAUUCCCCUUCAGUUAAAAAAAAAAAAGAAAAAAAAAAAGAAGAAAGAAAAAGGAGCCAAUUAAAGCGGCCGUGCUGGGGAGAGCCCAGCCUCCUGCCCAAUUCUGCGGGCCUCCCCACGCCUCGCCCCAGCCCAAUUAUAGACAACACCGCAGGGCUGGGAAGAAAAAGGGAUUUGCUUCGGGCGAGAGAUCCGUCGUCAGCCCGGGGUACCCCCAUCCUCAGGACACUCGUGGCAAGGUCGGAUUCUCCCGGCUGGGACCUGAGAUGCGAAGGGGUGGGGGGGCAGCUCAGGCUGCCCAGUGUCUCCUAUGCCGGCGCUGGCUGGUGCCAGCAAAGUUUUUUGGGGCCCCCCAGGUAGGUUGCAGGCCGGCGGGGCUGCCUCGUGCAUGCUGCCAGGGAGCGGCAAGGCGGGGGUGCCGUACGGGCCCCCACCCCCGUGCGAGGCUGCGGUGGCCGCGGUACCCGCCGGACUGCCGGCCCCGGGCCGUGGUGAGGCUCGUACAUGAGACUCGGAGCCGGGGAGCUGUGCAUGCCGCCUCCGCUCUUCCCCGCACCUCGCAGGGUUCGGAGCGAGAGGCUGGGAGGAGGAAGAGGAUGAGGAAGCUGCGCGAGCCGCGAGCAUCGUCACCGGCACUGGGGGGCUGCGCGGGGCUCUGCUUUGCCAUCCCUAUCUCCAUCUGCUUUGCGAGAGGGACAAAACGCUGCUUCUGGGGAGCCUAGACCUGCUCGCCGGCGAGCCUGCCCGUGCCCGGCCCGGGGCCGUAGCAGUAAGCUCAGCCCGUCAAGCGGAGCCAGCGCCGUGGAAACCCGUCUUAGGGCGCGUACUGCUCCCGGGAGCCCGGCUCCGGCUCGCCUCUUCCCCGGCGCUGGUCCUGCCGAGGCUCUCAGGGACAGGCUGAUGCGGGUGUCCCUUAGGGACAGCGGGUCCUCUCCGGCUCUUUCCUGGGGCUGGUCACUGCGCGCUCUCCCGCCUCGGCCACGCGUGGGCUCGGCACGCUGCCCCCGGGCGCUCCGGGCCCUGUCCCGCGGCUCUGCACCCAUGCCCGCUCCCCGCGGCAGCUGGCGAGGGGUGCGGGACCCGGAGGGAAAGCGGUUGGCCGGCAGGCACUGAGUCGCCGUGUGAACAAGUCACUCCCUGAUAAAAACGUAAUUUAUUAAAAAAAAAAAAAAAAAAAAAGGAAAAAUAUCAAGAGAUAUGGCCUAGAGAGAGCGGCCGCCUGCUCAGUCGUGCUCUAACAAACAAGCAAUUAAUAGAUAUAGCCCCUAAUUAGUAAGCAGUUAUUCCUAUUGUAAAUGGUGCUCAGCGAGAGAGAAAAGCAAUAGCGUGCACCAGAAGGGGAGCAGCGAUACGAACAGGGCAGUUUCACUCCAGUGCCCAGCAUCCCUGCAUGGAGGAGGCAUGGCAGGCGGUUCCCCACUGGGCUCUAUUCUAUCACUUGUCAGGAUACCGCCAGUAUAAAACUGCCUUGUUUAGUUUUGUGGUCGUUUGGGGUUUUUUUUCCCUUCGUAUUUUUUUUUCCUAUAACCAAGCUAAGGGAACAUUUGCCAAGACACUGUGGGCUUUGCACUCUGAGAUGCCCUUUCCACAGCUGAUGGAGUGGGGCACUUGUGAAAGCACCUGAUGUGAUCAAGUUUAUUCCUUAAUAAAAUAAACCCUUAUCUGAGAAGGAUUUAAUCCUU